GAUUAAGUUAUUAAGGGCGCACGGUGGAUGCCUUGGCACUAGAAGCCGAUGAAGGACGUUACUAACGACGAUAUGCUUUGGGGAGCUGUAAGUAAGCUUUGAUCCAGAGAUUUCCGAAUGGGGAAACCCAGCAUGAGUUAUGUCAUGUUAUCGAUAUGUGAAUACAUAGCAUAUCAGAAGGCACACCCGGAGAACUGAAACAUCUUAGUACCCGGAGGAAGAGAAAGAAAAUUCGAUUCCCUUAGUAGCGGCGAGCGAAACGGGAAGAGCCCAAACCAACAAGCUUGCUUGUUGGGGUUGUAGGACACUCUAUACGGAGUUACAAAGGACGACAUUAGACGAAUCAUCUGGAAAGAUGAAUCAAAGAAGGUAAUAAUCCUGUAGUCGAAAAUGUUGUCUCUCUUGAGUGGAUCCUGAGUACGACGGAGCACGUGAAAUUCCGUCGGAAUCUGGGAGGACCAUCUCCUAAGGCUAAAUACUCUCUAGUGACCGAUAGUGAACCAGUACCGUGAGGGAAAGGUGAAAAGCACCCCGGAAGGGGAGUGAAAUAGAACCUGAAACCGUGUGCUUACAAGUAGUCAGAGCCCGUUAAUGGGUGAUGGCGUGCCUUUUGUAGAAUGAACCGGCGAGUUACGAUUUGAUGCAAGGUUAAGCAGUAAAUGUGGAGCCGUAGCGAAAGCGAGUCUGAAUAGGGCGUUUAGUAUUUGGUCGUAGACCCGAAACCAGGUGAUCUACCCUUGGUCAGGUUGAAGUUCAGGUAACACUGAAUGGAGGAUCGAACCGACUUACGUUGAAAAGUGAGCGGAUGAACUGAGGGUAGCGGAGAAAUUCCAAUCGAACCUGGAGAUAGCUGGUUCUCUCCGAAAUAGCUUUAGGGCUAGCCUCAAGUGAUGAUUAUUGGAGGUAGAGCACUGUUUGGACGAGGGGCCCUCUCGGGUUACCGAAUUCAGACAAACUCCGAAUGCCAAUUAAUUUAACUUGGGAGUCAGAACAUGGGUGAUAAGGUCCGUGUUCGAAAGGGAAACAGCCCAGACCACCAGCUAAGGUCCCAAAAUAUAUGUUAAGUGGAAAAGGAUGUGGCGUUGCCCAGACAACUAGGAUGUUGGCUUAGAAGCAGCCAUCAUUUAAAGAGUGCGUAAUAGCUCACUAGUCGAGUGACACUGCGCCGAAAAUGUACCGGGGCUAAACAUAUUACCGAAGCUGUGGAUUGUCCUUUGGACAAUGGUAGGAGAGCGUUCUAAGGGCGUUGAAGCAUGAUCGUAAGGACAUGUGGAGCGCUUAGAAGUGAGAAUGCCGGUGUGAGUAGCGAAAGACGGGUGAGAAUCCCGUCCACCGAUUGACUAAGGUUUCCAGAGGAAGGCUCGUCCGCUCUGGGUUAGUCGGGUCCUAAGCUGAGGCCGACAGGCGUAGGCGAUGGAUAACAGGUUGAUAUUCCUGUACCACCUAUAAUCGUUUUAAUCGAUGGGGGGACGCAGUAGGAUAGGCGAAGCGUGCGAUUGGAUUGCACGUCUAAGCAGUAAGGCUGAGUAUUAGGCAAAUCCGGUACUCGUUAAGGCUGAGCUGUGAUGGGGAGAAGACAUUGUGUCUUCGAGUCGUUGAUUUCACACUGCCGAGAAAAGCCUCUAGAUAGAAAAUAGGUGCCCGUACCGCAAACCGACACAGGUAGUCAAGAUGAGAAUUCUAAGGUGAGCGAGCGAACUCUCGUUAAGGAACUCGGCAAAAUGACCCCGUAACUUCGGGAGAAGGGGUGCUCUUUAGGGUUAACGCCCAGAAGAGCCGCAGUGAAUAGGCCAAGCGACUGUUUAUCAAAAACACAGGUCUCUGCUAAACCGUAAGGUGAUGUAUAGGGGCUGACGCCUGCCCGGUGCUGGAAGGUUAAGAGGAGUGGUUAGCUUCUGCGAAGCUACGAAUCGAAGCCCCAGUAAACGGCGGCCGUAACUAUAACGGUCCUAAGGUAGCGAAAUUCCUUGUCGGGUAAGUUCCGACCCGCACGAAAGGCGUAACGAUUUGGGCACUGUCUCAACGAGAGACUCGGUGAAAUCAUAGUACCUGUGAAGAUGCAGGUUACCCGCGACAGGACGGAAAGACCCCGUGGAGCUUUACUGUAGCCUGAUAUUGAAAUUCGGCACAGCUUGUACAGGAUAGGUAGGAGCCUUUGAAACGUGAGCGCUAGCUUACGUGGAGGCGCUGGUGGGAUACUACCCUAGCUGUGUUGGCUUUCUAACCCGCACCACUUAUCGUGGUGGGAGACAGUGUCAGGCGGGCAGUUUGACUGGGGCGGUCGCCUCCUAAAAGGUAACGGAGGCGCUCAAAGGUUCCCUCAGAAUGGUUGGAAAUCAUUCAUAGAGUGUAAAGGCAUAAGGGAGCUUGACUGCGAGACCUACAAGUCGAGCAGGGUCGAAAGACGGACUUAGUGAUCCGGUGGUUCCGCAUGGAAGAGCCAUCGCUCAACGGAUAAAAGCUACCCCGGGGAUAACAGGCUUAUCUCCCCCAAGAGUUCACAUCGACGGGGAGGUUUGGCACCUCGAUGUCGGCUCAUCGCAUCCUGGGGCUGUAGUCGGUCCCAAGGGUUGGGCUGUUCGCCCAUUAAAGCGGUACGCGAGCUGGGUUCAGAACGUCGUGAGACAGUUCGGUCCCUAUCCGUCGUGGGCGUAGGAAAUUUGAGAGGAGCUGUCCUUAGUACGAGAGGACCGGGAUGGACAUACCUCUGGUGUACCAGUUGUCGUGCCAACGGCAUAGCUGGGUAGCUAUGUGUGGACGGGAUAAGUGCUGAAAGCAUCUAAGCAUGAAGCCCCCCUCAAGAUGAGAUUUCCCAACUUCGGUUAUAAGAUCCCUCAAAGAUGAUGAGGUUAAUAGGUUCGAGGUGGAAGCAUGGUGACAUGUGGAGCUGACGAAUACUAAUCGAUCGAAGACUUAAUCAA
rnacentral:rRNA from 1 species